rnacentral:rRNA from 1 species
GGGCUGCGGCGGCAGCCUACCAUGCAAGUCGAGCGGAUGAAGGGAGCUUGCUCCUGGAUUCAGCGGCGGACGGGUGAGUAAUGCCUAGGAAUCUGCCUGGUAGUGGGGGAUAACGUCCGGAAACGGGCGCUAAUACCGCAUACGUCCUGAGGGAGAAAGUGGGGGAUCUUCGGACCUCACGCUAUCAGAUGAGCCUAGGUCGGAUUAGCUAGUUGGUGGGGUAAAGGCCUACCAAGGCGACGAUCCGUAACUGGUCUGAGAGGAUGAUCAGUCACACUGGAACUGAGACACGGUCCAGACUCCUACGGGAGGCAGCAGUGGGGAAUAUUGGACAAUGGGCGAAAGCCUGAUCCAGCCAUGCCGCGUGUGUGAAGAAGGUCUUCGGAUUGUAAAGCACUUUAAGUUGGGAGGAAGGGCAGUAAGUUAAUACCUUGCUGUUUUGACGUUACCAACAGAAUAAGCACCGGCUAACUUCGUGCCAGCAGCCGCGGUAAUACGAAGGGUGCAAGCGUUAAUCGGAAUUACUGGGCGUAAAGCGCGCGUAGGUGGUUCAGCAAGUUGGAUGUGAAAUCCCCGGGCUCAACCUGGGAACUGCAUCCAAAACUACUGAGCUAGAGUACGGUAGAGGGUGGUGGAAUUUCCUGUGUAGCGGUGAAAUGCGUAGAUAUAGGAAGGAACACCAGUGGCGAAGGCGACCACCUGGACUGAUACUGACACUGAGGUGCGAAAGCGUGGGGAGCAAACAGGAUUAGAUACCCUGGUAGUCCACGCCGUAAACGAUGUCGACUAGCCGUUGGGAUCCUUGAGAUCUUAGUGGCGCAGCUAACGCGAUAAGUCGACCGCCUGGGGAGUACGGCCGCAAGGUUAAACUCAAAUGAAUUGACGGGGGCCCGCACAAGCGGUGGAGCAUGUGGUUAAUUCGAAGCACGCGAAGACCUUACCUGGCCUUGACUGCUGAGACUUUCCAGAGAUGGAUGGUGCUUCGGGACUCAGACCAGGGCUGCUGCUGUCGUCAGUCGUGCCUGAAAUGUGGGUAAGUCCGUACGA